rnacentral:misc_RNA from 1 species
UAUCGUCAUCGUUGUCGUCGUUGUCGCGCGGCCGUAGCGCUCUCGCGGCAGUCGCGGUCGCCUGCGAUGAGUUUAGUUUUGAAAACAAGGGGCCGCCCGCCGCUCGCCGUGGUUGUACGUCGUCGUCGUCGUCGCCGUACGGCUCGCGUAUAGAAACGGAAGCGCCUCCGUCCGCAAGCGCGGCGCAGACGGCAGACGAGGAAUUAAACGGCGCGUUGCGUCGCGUCGGGACGAGUCGUGUGUAUCACGAUUAAACGUUCCUUCCGUCCCUCCCUCAUUCAGCUGUUUAUUCGUACGUCCGUCCAUCCGUUCAUCUCUUUCUCUCGGUAUACAUAUAUAUAUAUAUAGAGAGAGAGAAAGAGAGAUAUUUAUCUCUAUCCUGUUGUCUCCCUUUCUCUCUCUUUCCCUGUGACAAUUCUCCCUUCGCGUUACUGUCGAAUACGCGUGAUCACACAAAAAAUGGACGCACUUCGGGAGCAGGUGAUGAUCAAUCAGUUUGUGUUGGCCGCGGGCUGUGCCAGGGAACAGGCGAAGCAAUUGCUGCAGGCGGCGCAUUGGCAAUUCGAGACCGCUCUCAGUAUUUUCUUUCAAGAAGCAGCGAUACCUUCCUGUGCGCAAGGAGCCGGCACUCACUUCGGCCAAAUAACACCAUGCAAUACGCCAGCCACUCCGCCGAAUUUCCCAGACGCUCUAUUGGCAUUUUCUAAAAUGUCUGCAGGUGAAAAAACUCCAUCGGGCAUGUCUCCGAGCCAGAACGGAUUUCAGGCAAACUCGACACCGAUGGCGAGCAUUGUGCAGCACCACACCGCCGGCGGCCGGUGUAGUGCAUCCGGCAAUGCGACACAGCAACAGACGCAACCCCAACAGACGCAAUUCGGCCUGGGCGAACCGCAGAGAUAAAAAUGACUGUGCUAAUUGGUGAUGCGCGAGCACGAAACGGCACGUAAAUGCGCGCGAUAACGUUUCUGGAGAACAAAAUACUGCGCUCUAUGCAUAGAACGCGAAAAAGGAGAGAGAGAAAGAGAGACAGAAAGGUGAAAAAUGUAUAUGAAAAAGAAGAAAUUCUCCGUCUUCUGAGAAAAUGUAUCCUUCCUGGAAGAGGAAAAUUCGUGAAAUUUGCGAAUGAGAUCGCGGUAAUUACAUGAAAAUAUGUAUUCUUUUGCAGAUUGAAACUGGAUUGCUACGUUUAUUUACGCACAAUAAGCGAUGUGCGCAUUGUUGUGUAUGUGCGAACGCACGAAUGAGUCGAGUGUCGAUUUUCCUGACGAUGCCCGAGGGAAUGUGAUACGUAUAUUUCGAUCGCUAGAUUUCCUUCUCGGCUUCCUCUAGGGAAUAUCGAGAGGGAUCUAGGCAUAGUACGGCACUUUGAAUAGUCCGCUAUAAAUAUAUUACACACGGCCGAUAUGAAAACGCGAGUGAGGGACGAGAGACGGAAAAUCAUAUCGAAGAGCCUUUCUUCUUUUAUCUCUGUCAUGUUCGGAUUAUCUCAUGCUAUAGACACAUGACUCUUUCUCAGAUUCAUUCACUAUAUACAUCACCGUUAAACUAGGCGAUGAAUUUCCGCUAUCACUUCCACGUCACAGUACAAAAGAGUUGCGAGGAUGCAUGGUUUCUUCGAUUAAUAAAAAAUCUUUUCACGGAAAAAAAUGAUGGGAGAAUGUAUGUAUCUUUAAUGAUAGAUGGAUACACGAUGGCUCGCAGGCGGUCAUGUAAUCAUGGAACUCGAGUGUUUUAUUACGAUCCUAUCGCUGUUCUCUUAAAAUAGUGAUGCUUGCGGCACGCGUUACUCGCGCAACGUGUGUCGUUCCCGUACACAUAAGCGAUAUUUCGAUGGUAUAAAUAUACGAGGCUAAGUAACAAACUUUACUGUGUAAAAAUUUGUAAAAAGAGUAAUCCGAGUUACGUAAUGUUCGUUUUACAUAAUAAAUAACUAUGUAAAAAGUGAAAUCAAGGAGGAUCUCGCGAGUGAUAGAAUAUAUAAUAGUUUGAUGAAUUGAUUUACACAGAAAGAUUUAAUAUGAACAACCGAUGAAUAAAUGAACAGGGGAUAUUCUUGAUUCAAUUAUUUCGGUUACUCGCGAAUAUGCUAGAGAUUACUGCCUGGUUUUAUGCAGCACUAGACUUCACGACGUUCACAAAAAAUGCUCUUGUAUGGCAGCUGGCACUACUGAUUCUGAUAUCAUAGUAUAUCAAUAAUCCGAAUAUAUGGAACUCUGUAUCUUUCAUUAUAUUUCUCGUAACAUAGAUGGACGAUUAUUCGUACUAUAGAUACAUACUUGUUUUCAUUAAGAUUAUUUAUUCAAUAUAGCAGCGAAUUUAGUUUAUCACAGCUUUUUAGAAGCUUUCUUCCUAGUUUGAGAUUCCCGUUUCUUCAUUGCAUCUUAUAUAAUUAUAAUAGAAGUCGAAAGAAAGAGAAAGACAACAUAUAAAUUUUUUUUUACAUUAGACGUCCAAAUAAAUUUUUCUUUAUGUUAUCAAUCGCGUUUGAUACUAUAAGUUGAUAAAAUUUUCAAUAAAUAUCAAUAACUUAUUAUUUUCAAUGAAAAUGAAUUUUAUAUUUUGUGGAGAUUUAUUAUUUAUUAAUUUUUAUAGACGAAAGGAAAGUCUUUAUUUAAUAUCGAUCUACAUUAAUUAAACAUGCAUAAUAGUAUGCAAAGGAACUAAUUUCCACGUACAAAAAAAAAUGUAUAAUUUUUCACUGUAAUGUUGAAAUUCAAUAUGACUGUAGUGAAGAAUAAGAGGACCCUUAAUAUAAAACAGAUCCUUAACUAACAGAAGUUCAUUUAUUCUUUAUAAUCUCGAUAUAUCUGACAACAAAAAGUUUUUAUGGAUGCAACACGAUAUAUUCGAUUCUUUUAUUUGUAGUCACGAUAGUAGUCUCGAUCAUAAUAGAACUUUAUAGUCCAAGCUUAACAUAAUAAUUUAAUUUUCAAUCAUGCAAUAGCAUCCAGGCGUCGCAUAACUUUGUUAAUGGGUUUAUGUAAAUAAUAGUAGAUAUUAGUCAUAAGAUAAAAAAAAACGUACUCUUUUAAAGUACGAGAUAUUUUUUCCAAUAAGGUACAUGCUUUAAAAUACCUUCCUUACGUUUGUAUACUAUGUAGGCUGUAUUUAAAGAUGAUAUAAAACUAUCUACAAGGAAUAAGAAUGUUUUACUAUGUUGAAAUUAUAGUUAUUGUUUAUUUGACUAUUACAAAGACAGAUAAUGGUCAUGUACAUAAUGCUGAAAAAUUAAAUAAAAUAUUGAUAA